CUGAAGCUACUCAGCCAGGCAUGGUAGCACAGGCCUGUAAUUCCAGCACUUGGGAGGCUGAGGCAGGAGGAU
rnacentral:miRNA from 1 species